GAUGAACGCUGGCGGCGUGCCUAAUACAUGCAAGUCGAGCGACCAGACGAGGUUCUUGCUCCUCUGACGUUUGCGGCGGACGGGUGAUUUACCCGUGGAUACCCUACCUCUAAGUCUGGGAUCACUUCGGCACACCGUAUCUCAUACCGGCUCAUCUAUUGAACCGCAUGGUUCAUUAGUGCUUUACUGUUUUGCUGUCCCUUUUUUAUGUUUCCUCGCCGCAUUAGCUAGUUGGUAAGGUAACGGCUUACCAAGGCAACGAUGCGUAGCCGAACUGAGAGGGUGAUCAGCCACACUGGAACUGAGACACGGACCAGACUCCUACGGGAGGCAGCAGUAGGGAAUCUUAGGCAAUGGGGGAAAGCCUGACAGAGCAACGCCGCGUGAGAGAUGAAGGUCUUCGGAUCGUAAAGCUCUGUUAUUAGGGAAGAAAAAAUGUGUAAGAAACUAAGCACGAAGUGACGGUACCUAAUCAGAAAGCAACGGCUAACUACGUG
rnacentral:rRNA from 1 species